rnacentral:lncRNA from 10 species
GCCAGGCUCUGUGAGAGUGAGUGUCACUUAGGUUGUUAGGUCAUCUAGUAUGAGUGGGGCAAGGUGUGUAUCAUGUUAAGCCAGAUUCAGGAAUGGAUGAUCCAAAAAUACCUGAGUUUAAAUCUGGUGGAAUACAGAAGGAAUACAAGAGUUCAUUUUUCAUAGCACUCAAAAUUUGAGUAGACCAGAAAUCCAAAGGUCAACAGAUGUGAAAAAGCAGCAAAAUGACAUCUGUGGAGGGAUCAAGACAUGGUGCAGAGAAAAGCUUCUUCCAUCUGCUCUUUCUGUCAUGAAUUCGCUAUUAAUAAUAUGGACAGCCCUAAACCCUCAACCCUCUUACUAGAGGCCAAAAGGAGAAGUAAGCCAUUGCAGUGAGUAGUAGAUAAAAGUUGCAGAUGCAGCUGCUAAAAGUAAAUUCCCUCUCAAAAGGAGAGGGAAUGGGAAGUUUCAGGGCUUGGGGAGCUGCUGAAGGAGGGCAGUGAAGAAACCCGGAGUAGUAACGCACAGGGCCAGACGCGAC